rnacentral:rRNA from 1 species
UACAGAGGGGGCGAGCAUUGUUCGGAAUUACUGGGCGUAAAGGGCGCGUAGGCGGCCAACUAAGUCAGACGUGAAAUCCCUCGGCUCAACCGGGGAACUGCGUCUGAUACUGGAUGGCUUGAAUUCGGGAGAGGGAUGCGGAAUUCCAGGUGUAGCGGUGAAAUGCGUAGAUAUCUGGAGGAACACCGGUGGCGAAGGCGGCAUCCUGGACCGAGAUUGACGCUGAUGCGCGAAAGCCAGGGGAGCAAACGGG